GAUGAACGCUGGCGGCGUGCUUAACACAUGCAAGUCGAACGAACCUUCGGGUUAGUGGCGGACGGGUGAGUAACGCGUGAGAAUCUGCCCUCAGGAGGGGGAUAACGGCUGGAAACGGCCGCUAAUACCCCAUAUGCCGCGAGGUGAAAUGAAUUUCGCCUGAGGAUGAGCUCGCGUCUGAUUAGCUAGUUGGUGGGGUAAGAGCCUACCAAGGCAUCGAUCAGUAGCUGGUCUGAGAGGAUGAUCAGCCACACUGGGACUGAGACACGGCCCAGACUCCUACGGGAGGCAGCAGUGGGGAAUUUUCCGCAAUGGGCGCAAGCCUGACGGAGCAACGCCGCGUGAGGGAUGAAGGCCUCUGGGCUGUAAACCUUUUUUAUCAAGGAAGAAGAUCUGACGGUACUUGAUGAAUAAGCCACGGCUAAUUCCGUGCCAGCCGCCGCAGUAA
rnacentral:rRNA from 1 species